rnacentral:piRNA from 1 species
UCCUGGACUCAAGGUGGUGCUUUCUGCUGU